rnacentral:lncRNA from 1 species
UGGAAGAGCUGCAUACAAGGGAGAAACAUAAAGUCAGUAUUGUGCUGUAGAGAAUAUUAAACCCUUAUUUUGUGUUUAGGAUGUAUUUUAUUAUGUGUACAGGUGUUUUUGCUUGUAUUUUAUUGGCAAUUUAGAUUUACCCUGUGUUACUUAGUUUUCUAUUAUCACUUCUAGUAAGAUGAAAUUAAGGGCAGGACCUAGACCUACAUAGAAAUCAUGAAAGAAGUCCUUGUAGCUUUUAACACUUUUAAGGAAACAGCUUUGAAAAAUUUGGCUUUGUGAUCGUCGUCAUCACAAAGUAAUGACGUAAGGAGUAAUCUAAACCUCCUAAGAUAUUUAGGCUUCUGUACAUAAGAGUGCUUUGCUAAAUGUGUGCCCUAUGUAGAUCUUUCCUCCACAUUAUUUUACCAAGAAUGUUUUGACCCUGCAUCUGUGCUAUAGUUCAUGGUAGGGGUGGUACAACUCCAACAUUGGUUUUUCUACUUCCCUUAACAAAUGGUUUGUCUAAAGAUUCUUUUCAAAUUACAAAUAUGACACUAAUUCUUGUGUUUGCAAGUGACUUUUUUCUUGUUGAGGUAGUAACAGUCCCAUCUGGUGCUGUUGCACUCUAGAAGAUCUCAAAUCACGAUGAUUAAAAUAGUUGGGGUAAACUUGUAGUUCAUAUGCAACACUACUUGGAGGAAUUAUUUUACUUGCUUGUCUUUAAUGUAAAAAUUAAUUUGAUUAUAUUUCACAUGAAUUUGGAAUGGAAGUGGUCGUUAAGAAAAAAAAAAAUUUUUGUUACGCUAUUUGAUUAUAUUUCACAUGAAUUUGGAAUGGAAGUGGUCGUUAAGAAAAAAAAAAUUUUUGUUACGCUGUUUGAUUCCUAUAAUACAGUGCUAUAAGGUGUGCCCUGAAAGAAAAUAAAGUGUUUGAAAUCUAAGAAUAAUGAUUCUUACUGCAAAGAGGGUGUAAUAGUUACCACUAUUGAGUUUGACAGGCUUGUGUUUUUAUACAAUGUUUAUUCCAGUUAGAGUAUAAAUAAGUUGUAUUACUAAGGUGGUUAAAUAACCAAACCAAAUGUUUGUGUAAAAAAAGAGAUUUGCCAAGAAUUAAUUGUUUGACUGUUGAAUCUUUCUUGAACAUCCAGCUUCUCAAAGAGACCACCUCUUAAGGAGCCUGUAAACUAUGCAUGAUGAAAAUUCUUGUAUUUUAUUAAGGAAGUGGCCAUUGGUUUACUCACCACAUCCAUGGAAUUGUGGCUAUAAACAUGA